CCGGGAGAUGCCCAGUCAAGCUCCUAUCCCUCCAUGGGCCCCGGGCCACUGUGGUUGGUGGCCAUUUGUCUCCUGAGAGCAGGGGCGGUGUCAGCAGGCAGGGGCAGUGACAUCAAACACAGACCUACCCAACCCAGACCACUGAAAUUCUAAGAUUCAGCGACUCAUGACGGGAGACGCCCAGUCCGGCCCUGACCCUACCAUGGACCCCGGGCUAGUGUGGCUGGUGGCCGUUUGUGUCCUGGGAGCAGGUUCUGCAGACGCCGGAAUCACCCAGGCUCCCAGACACCUGGUCUCCGGUCAGGGACAGAAUGUGACCCUGAGUUGUGAGCAGGACCAGAACCACAAUGCCAUGUACUGGUACCGGCAGGACCCGGGACUAGGCCCCCAGAGGCUCUUCUACUUCUAUAAUAAAGAACAGCAAGACAAAGGAAAUAUUCCCGAGAGAUUCGUCGCUGAGCAGCCAGAUAAAUCUAUCCUGCGCCUCACAGUGAGCGUGCUGGCCCGGGAGGACUCCGCGCUAUACCUCUGCGCCAGCAGCCAGGACACGGCGCUGCGGGGCCCGGCCCGCCCCCUGCACAAACCGACCCCUCCCCAUCGCCGCCAGGACGGGGAGGGGGAUGCCGGGAGCAGAGACCCCCCGCCCCAUUUCAGAGGAGAUCUGGUGCUGGUCAAACUGGACUCAUCCACAACUGCUGAUAGGAGCCCCUCCUCACUACUCAUCACCCACUCCCACAGGGGUCCAUCACUGACCAGAUGGCUCCACCUGGAUCACAGCUAA